rnacentral:rRNA from 1 species
GCGCCCCGCGAAGGGGAGCGGCGGACGGGCGAGUAAUGCCUAGGAAUCUGCCUAGUGGUGGGGAUAACGUUCGGAAACGGACGCUAAUACCCGCAUACGUCCUACGGGAGAAAGCGGGGGAUCUUCGGACCUCGCGCCAUUAGAUGAGCCUAGGUCGGAUUAGCUAGUUGGUGAGGUAAUGGCUCACCAAGGCGACGAUCCGUAACUGGUCUGAGAGGAUGAUCAGUCACACUGGAACUGAGACACGGUCCAGACUCCUACGGGAGGCAGCAGUGGGGAAUAUUGGACAAUGGGCGAAAGCCGGAUCCAGCCAUGCCGCGUGUGUGAAGAAGGUCUUCGGAUUGUAAAGCACUUUAAGUUGGGAGGAAGGGUAGCAACCUAAUACGUUGCUACUUUGACGUUACCGACAGAAUAAGCACCGGCUAACUUCGUG